GAAAAGAAAACAAACGUGAUUCCCCCAGUAACGGCGAGUGAACAGGGACGAGCCCAGCGUGAAGGCUAUGUACCGUCAUGGUAUCAUAGCGGUGCCACGUUAAUACUCUUGCGACUACAGGUAGGUGUGGAGGUACUGCAAGUCUCUUUGAACAGAGCGCCACAGAGGGUGACAGCCCCGUAGCAGAUCUUUACCUAUCACACCACCUCCAGCAAGUGUAUGCUAGAGUCAGGUUGCUUGAAAGUGCAACCUAAAGCAGCAGGUAGACUCCUGCUAAGGCUAAACACGACCGUCAGACCGAUAGUAAACAAGUACCGUGAGGGAAAGUUGAAAAGAACUUUGUAGAGAGAGUUAAAAGUACGUGAAACGGCUUGGAGGCAAACGAAUGGAGCUGCGAAGCAGGCGCUUGUGUAUCAAUUUGCUUACCCUGUCUGCAUGUUUGUGCUUGUCUCGAAAGAGUAAGCACUUGUGUGUAAGGCAGGGUAGACAAAUGCACUACACUUGCGUACGAUGAUGUGGUGAGCAGUGGAACAGUGUUGUUGUGGUCAUUACGGGACUGAGGUGUACGGUUCUCUGCGGCUUCGGCCACACGAGUCCGACUUCAUGUCUGGAUACAACAAACACACAUCCACUGUUAACAAAGUCUCCCGUAUGGGAGUACGGACGGGAGUAAAGUUGUUGGACUUGACAGCGGUCUCAGGCUUGAAGUCGGUAGCC
rnacentral:rRNA from 1 species